UACGUAGGGGGCUAGCGUUGUCCGGAAUCAUUGGGCGUAAAGCGCGUGUAGGCGGCCCGAUAAGUCCGCUGUGAAAGUCCAGGGCUCAACCCUGGGAUGCCGGUGGAUACUGUCGGGCUCGAGUCCGGAAGAGGCGAGUGGAAUUCCUGGUGUAGCGGUGAAAUGCGCAGAUAUCAGGAGGAACACCAGCGGCGAAGGCGGGUCUCUGGGCCGAUACUGACGCUGAGGAGCGAAAGCGUGGGGAGCGAACAGG
rnacentral:rRNA from 1 species